rnacentral:rRNA from 1 species
AGAACGAACGUUAGCGGCGCGCCUAACACAUGCAAGUCGCACGAGAAAGGGCUUCGGCCCCGGUACAGUGGCGCACGGGUGAGUAACACGUAGAUCAUCUCCCCUCGAGUGGUGGAUAACUUUCCGAAAGGAAAGCUAAUACAGCAUGAGACCACGGCUUCGUUGAAGCUGCGGCCAAAGCAGGCCUCUACACGUAAGCUUGCGCUUGAGGAUGAGUCUGCGGCCCAUCAGCUAGUUGGUAGGGUAAUGGCCUACCAAGGCUAAGACGGGUAGCUGGUCUGAGAGGAUGAACAGCCACACUGGAACUGAGACACGGUCCAGACUCCUACGGGAGGCAGCAGGUGGGGAAUCGUUGCGCAAGUGGCGAAAGCCUGACGCAGCGACGCCGCGUGAGCGAUGAAGGCCUUCGGGUGACAAAGCUCUGGUGGGAGAAAGAAGUAAGGUGACUAACAUCCAACUGAGUGACGUACCUCGUUAG